CCCAGUGUGGUGUAGUGGUUUGAGCAUUAUAGUAUGACUCUAUUAACCAGGGUUUGAAUCCCUGCUCAGCCA